GUUAGUGGACCGGGACCGGUAGGGGUGCUGUUGCCAUCAUGGCUGACCCCGACCCCCGGUACCCUCGCUCCUCGAUCGAGGACGACUUCAACUAUGGCAGCAGCGUGGCCUCCGCCACCGUGCACAUCCGAAUGGGUUCAUUGGUGGAAAACAACAAAUCAUGAAGCUACUAAAAAAUUAUGUGAGAAGGCCCGUCGGGCAAGUGAGGAACGCCUCUGCC
rnacentral:lncRNA from 1 species